UGGCCAUUGAGGUUCUUCUCGAGGGUCAUUGAGGUUCUUCUCGAGGAUCAUUGAGGUUCUUCAAGGGCUGUUGAGGUUCCUCAUGGAUUAUUGAGGUUCCUCGAGGAUUAUUGAGGUUCUUCCAGGGUUGUUGAGGUUCCUCAAUGGCCAUUGAGGUUCUUCUCGAGGAUCAUUGAGGUUCUUCAAGGGUUGUUGAGGUUCUUCUCGAGGGUCAUUGAGGUUCUUCUUGAGGAUCAUUGAGGUUCUUCAAGGGCUGUUGAGGUUCCUCACGGAUUAUUGAGGUUCCUCAAUGGCCGUUGAGGUUCUUCUCGAGGAUUAUUGAGGUUCUUCUUGAGGAUCAUUGAGGUUCUUCAAGGGUUGUUGAGGUUCCUCACGGAUUAUUGAGGUUCCUCACGGAUUAUUGAGGUUCCUCAAUGGCCGUUGAGGUUCUUCUCGAGGAUUAUUGAGGUUCUUCUUGAGGAUCAUUGAGGUUCUUCAAGGGCUGUUGAGGUUCCUCACGGAUUAUUGAGGUUCCUCGAUGGCCGUUGAGGUUCUUCUCGAGGAUUAUUGAGGUUCUUCUUGAGGAUCAUUGAGGUUCUUCAAGGGCUGUUGAGGUUCCUCACGGAUUAUUGAGGUUCCUCACGGAUUGUUGAGGUUCCUCACGGAUUGUUGAGGUUCCUCAAGGCUUACUGAGGCUCCUCCAGGUCCCGGCUGUCCCCCAGCUCUUGGGGGGCCCCCCAGAUGCGCCCCAGGCCCUGC